rnacentral:misc_RNA from 1 species
AGUCUCUCGAAUCCUUAAAAAAAAAAAAAAAAAAAAAAAAAAAAAAAAAUUAUUGAUACAGUUUCUGU